GGAGUGGUGGUGGAAUUGGUAAACACGAAAGAUUGCUAAUCUUUUAUCGUUUUUCGGUAUGCAGGUUCAAGUCCUGUCCACUCCGCCA
rnacentral:tRNA from 1 species